CCCUAGACAUAGCACCGAGCCACCCUAAUACUAGGAGAACUACUGCUAAAACUAGUAACUUGACACUUCUCUCUCGCACAUCCCUGCAUCGGCACGGACCACCGACAAUUACCACCCACCCCUCCCCCUGUCACCCCGACACAGGAGUGCUCCAGGCACACUGCCCUAAAAGGAACUCGGCUAAUGCCCCACCUGUUUACCAAAAACAUGGCCUUUAGCCAACAAGUAUUAAAGGUCCCGCCUGCCCAGUGAACCAAACGGCCGCGGUACCCUAACCGUGCAAAGGUAGCGUAAUCACUUGCCCCCUAAAUAGGGGCCCGUAUGAAAGGCUAAAUGAGGGCCUAACUGUCUCCUAAGGCAAGCCACUGAAACUGUUCUCUCAGUACAAAAACUGAGAUAGCCCCAUAAGACGAGAAGACCCUGUGGAGCUUUAAACUUUAAGUUGGGGCGACUACGGAGUAAAACAAAACCUCCACGAAACACCACCCCAGACCCACACCCCCAGGGUAAACCAUCAGACCCAGCACAGCUGAACACCGAACCAAGUUACCCCAGGGAUAACAGCGCCAUCCUCCUCAAGAGUCCCUAUCGCCAGGAGGGUUUACGACCUCGAUGUUGGAUCAGGACACCCAGGCGGUGUAGCCGCUGCCAACGGUUCGUUUGUUCAACGAC
rnacentral:rRNA from 1 species